rnacentral:misc_RNA from 1 species
UAACUGCGCGUCGGAAUGUGAACUGCAGGACACAUGAACAUCGACACUUUGAACGCACAUUGCGGACCGUGGCUCGUCUACUGUCCAUGCCUGGCUCAGGGUCGGUUAAACAUCCAUCCAGGGUUAAAAUCCUGGCAUUGGGCUCUUCCUCUCGCCUCGUGCGAGAGGUGGCUUCAAGUUUACCGUUGCAGGAAUGCCUCUUGGCUACUGCCGACUCUCGGGACGUAAAAACUCCUGGGUCGGCUCUGUCUCGAGUCUUCUCGCAGGGCGCUCCCCUCGUUUUCGGACGGCUGUGGGUGCGGGACGCCCGCCCUUAUCAUAAACUUCGACCUGAGAGUAGGCAAGAUUACCCGCCGAAUUUAA